GUUAAAGCACUGAUGGAAGACCAGAGCUCUACCUUUGAAGAUGAAAUAUAAUUUUGGAUGCUCAUUUAAAAUUGGGUUUAAUUGAUUCACUUGCAUAACAAAGGCAGUAGCUUCUGAAAAGUGCUCACCUAAAGGAAGUGAAACCGCUGAGACAAUGUGAAGAGCUGAAAACAAAGUGAUGCAGCUGACACACUCAUCUCAGGGGCAUGGUGAAUCUUGAUUUUCUUAGAUGGUUUCUGUCUAAUGCUGUCAUGCAAAGGCUCUUCAGAAACCCAGGCAUGAUUUUCAAAACAUCCAGCUCUGGCCACUGAUACUGAAAGACAUUGAGAGACUUCACCUGUCACAAAAUUCUCUAAAAUUUGUUCCUGUAUCAACUUUUACUGUUUGGGUGAGAUAAGAAGAGAAAUAAUCACUGUUGUAGCACUUGAUGGCCUUGCACAUGUUGGAAGUAUGCAACAAAGCAGAAGGCUAAAAGCUCAACUAUCCAAAGCUCUCCAUCCUAAUGCACUCCUCUAGAGCAUAGCAGGGUUUUGAAGAACGACAAAAAAAGGAAAACCUGGAAUUAAAGAAUCUGGCAGAAUCUUUGAAAAGCUUGUUUCUUGGUCUCUCAAUUUCAGCAACAUAAUGC